UUGGAGGGCAAGUCUGGUGCCAGCAGCCGCGGCAAUUCCAGCUCCAAUAGCGUAUAUUAAAGUUGCUGCAGUUAAAAAGCUCGUAGUUGAAUUUCGGGAUCAAUUUGCCGGUCGAGACCUCUGGUACGUACUUGUAUUAUUGAUUUCUUUCAUUCUGAUAAAUCAUUGAUGUCAUUAAUUUGAUGACUUUGAGGAAUCGGAACUUUUACUUUGAAAAAAUUAGAGUGUUUAAAGCAGGCUUAUUAGGCUUGAAUACAUUAGCAUGGAAUAAUGAAAUAGGACGAUUGAUCCUAUUUUUGUUGGUUUCUAGGAUUGACGUAAUGAUUAAUAGGGAUAGUUGGGGGCAUUAGUAUUCAAUUGUCAGAGGUGAAAUUCUUGGAUUUAUUGAAGACUAACUACUGCGAAAGCAUUUGCCAAGGAUGUUUUCAUUAAUCAAGAACGAAAGUUAGGGGAUCGAAGACGAUCAGAUACCGUCGUAGUCUUAACCAUAAACUAUGCCGACUAGGGAUCGGACGAAGUUAAUUUUAUAAUGACGCGUUCGGCGCCUUACGGGAAAC
rnacentral:rRNA from 1 species